rnacentral:rRNA from 1 species
AGAGUUUGAUCCUUGCUCAGGAUGUACGCCGGCGGUGUGCCUAAUACAUGCAAGUCGUACGCACUGGCCCAACUGAUUGAUGGUGCUUGCACCUGAUUGACGAUGGAUCACCAGUGAGUGGCGGACGGGUGAGUAACACGUAGGUAACCUGCCCCGGAGCGGGGGAUAACAUUUGGAAACAGAUGCUAAUACCGCAUAACAACAAAAGCCACAUGGCUUUUGUUUGAAAGAUGGCUUUGGCUAUCACUCUGGGAUGGACCUGCGGUGCAUUAGCUAGUUGGUAAGGUAACGGCUUACCAAGGCGAUGAUGCAUAGCCGAGUUGAGAGACUGAUCGGCCACAAUGGAACUGAGACACGGUCCAUACUCCUACGGGAGGCAGCAGUAGGGAAUCUUCCACAAUGGGCGCAAGCCUGAUGGAGCAACACCGCGUGAGUGAAGAAGGGUUUCGGCUCGUAAAGCUCUGUUGUUGGAGAAGAACGUGCGUGAGAGUAACUGUUCACGCAGUGACGGUAUCCAACCAGAAAGUCACGGCUAACUACGUGCCAGCAGCCGCGGUAAUACGUAGGUGGCAAGCGUUAUCCGGAUUUAUUGGGCGUAAAGCGAGCGCAGGCGGUUGCUUAGGUCUGAUGUGAAAGCCUUCGGCUUAACCGAAGAAGUGCAUCGGAAACCGGGCGACUUGAGUGCAGAAGAGGACAGUGGAACUCCAUGUGUAGCGGUGGAAUGCGUAGAUAUAUGGAAGAACACCAGUGGCGAAGGCGGCUGUCUGGUCUGCAACUGACGCUGAGGCUCGAAAGCAUGGGUAGCGAACAGGAUUAGAUACCCUGGUAGUCCAUGCCGUAAACGAUGAGUGCUAGGUGUUGGAGGGUUUCCGCCCUUCAGUGCCGGAGCU